rnacentral:lncRNA from 1 species
GUUAUGGCGAAUUCAUACUUACAGGUUGGUAAUUAUUCCACAUGGGUACACCGUUUAUACGAGACUGAAACGUCAGUCCUAUAAGAAGUUCGCUCAAAAGGUCGUUGUCGCAUGCUCGCAACAGAAUCACAUGUACCUCUAAUCACACGAUUUUAUUGAAUGCGGGAACGUUUGAACGCGUUAACGCUGCAAUAGCGAUCCAAAAACUAGUAAUUCAUCAUUUAUUUGGUUAAGUAAUGUACAAAUUUAGGUCAUAUUGGAGAGACUUCGACAUGAAAGACCGACUGAUUGGCUUGUCGUUGCCUGAGCAAAAUACAGAUUUUCUUGUUCGUCUGCUAAUGGAUCAGGUGUAAAGGUAGCGUAUGUCAUGUCUGACUUGCUAAUUUUCACCUUGCAGAUCCGUGGUUCGUGUUCGUAUUUGCGUCUUCUCUACGACAAGUACCUCUGCUUAUCGUGUGUUAACAUUUGUAGAACUCAGUCUUAAUUUAAGGUUGUACUAUCUUAGGCGAAAGGCUGCACGCGGCGAAAUCACCUAACUGGUGUCCAACAUACUGGGCACUCGAUAGACGCCAUUGAAGUGAUCAUGGUGCCUGCACAGCGACUGAGAGUGGGUGAGAAGAAGCCUUUGGUGGGAAGAAGGUGGGAGAACAUCACGUUUUGUUCUUGUAACUCCUCCAUGCUUAACAGGCAUAGGGGACAUUUACACAGCAUGCGGCACUUCUUGAUUGGCGUCCUCGACUCCUCCUCGCAUCUGGUGCUCGAAGCAGACCUCUUUCGCGUCGAUUGCGUUCGAAAUCCUGCUGGCGACCCAAUAGAAGUUUGUUUUGGUGAUGUGCAAUUUUUUUUUAUCAAUGGCGUCGAUUCCCUGCAACUGAUUGUCGAUGCGGACCGUUUUAGACUAGGCCGUAAAGCACAGCUAGAUGGCUUUGAACAAGCAUGAACAGGAGGAAUCCUUGUCGACAGAGGCGCUCGAGCGGCAACAUCGGUCGGUGACGGCCGAAAAUGUUCGAUAUUAGAAAAAUCCAUAUACUUCUUGGUGUAUGUUGACUGCGAAAACGGGCAUAAAUAUGGGCAUUGAUUGAGGUGGACCUAUUGUGACGCCAUCUAUGAAUGGAGACCGUAUGUUAACGCCAACGAAGAUUCAACUUUUUCUAAGUUAGAAGAUAUGCUAUAAAGGUAACAUAGCGAAGUACCAAAAUAGCUUAGACAAUGGAGAAGUUCACUGAAACGGGACGAUGACAGGGCUUCAUCAUUAUGACCCAGCAACCAGGAAGGCCGCAGCGGAGAAACGAGACCACUGUUAAUAAUAGUACAAUCGAAUUCGAUCUGGAGACUGUAAAAAGUUCUCAGACUAAAGGAGCAGAUGUCAACCAUAUACGGUGCUGUUCGUAACCGCAAUGCUAGUAGGGACAAAUAUAAUAAUAAUAAUAAUUCACAAUAAAUGAUUAUCAUAAUUAACUAAUGAAUGAUGAAGAACUGUGAUGUAAUUCCCUUUGCACCUCAUCGAACCGCUGAUGUCUCUACACAAAUGUAAGGUAAUUAAGCGGAGCAAAGAUCACGGUAGAAUCGAGCAGGAAAAAAGCGUUACAGAAAGAGUUUAAAAUUGAGCUAUACUCGC